rnacentral:rRNA from 2 species
AGGGAGCUUGCUCCCGGAUGUUAGCGGCGGACGGGUGAGUAACACGUGGGUAACCUGCCUGUAAGACUGGGAUAACUCCGGGAAACCGGAGCUAAUACCGGAUAGUUCCUUGAACCGCAUGGUUCAAGGAUGAAAGACGGUUUCGGCUGUCACUUACAGAUGGACCCGCGGCGCAUUAGCUAGUUGGUGGGGUAAUGGCUCACCAAGGCGACGAUGCGUAGCCGACCUGAGAGGGUGAUCGGCCACACUGGGACUGAGACACGGCCCAGACUCCUACGGGAGGCAGCAGUAGGGAAUCUUCCGCAAUGGACGAAAGUCUGACGGAGCAACGCCGCGUGAGUGAUGAAGGUUUUCGGAUCGUAAAGCUCUGUUGUUAGGGAAGAACAAGUGCGAGAGUAACUGCUCGCACCUUGACGGUACCUAACCAGAAAGCCACGGCUAACUACGUGCCAGCAGCCGCGGUAAUACGUAGGUGGCAAGCGUUGUCCGGAAUUAUUGGGCGUAAAGGGCUCGCAGGCGGUUUCUUAAGUCUGAUGUGAAAGCCCCCGGCUCAACCGGGGAGGGUCAUUGGAAACUGGGAAACUUGAGUGCAGAAGAGGAGAGUGGAAUUCCACGUGUAGCGGUGAAAUGCGUAGAGAUGUGGAGGAACACCAGUGGCGAAGGCGACUCUCUGGUCUGUAACUGACGCUGAGGAGCGAAAGCGUGGGGAGCGAACAGGAUUAGAUACCCUGGUAGUCCACGCCGUAAACGAUGAGUGCUAAGUGUUAGGGGGUUUCCGCCCCUUAGUGCUGCAGCUAACGCAUUAAGCACUCCGCCU